GACGAACGCUGGCGGCGUGCCUACUACAUGCAAGUCGAACGCAGUCGGGACGGGUGAGUAACACGUUGGUAACCUCCCAUCAGAGGGGAUAACACUUGGAAACAGGUGCUAAACCGAUACUGAUGGAUGGCCCCGCGGUGCAUUAGCUAGUUGGUGAGGUAACGGCUAACCAGGGCCACAAUGCAUAGCCGAGCUGUGAGGGUGAGCGGCCACACUGGGACUGAGACACGGCCCAGACUCCGACGGGAGGCAGCAGUAGGGAAUGUGCGGCAAUGGCCGAAAGUCUGACCGAGUAACGCCGCGUGAGUGAAGAAGGUUUUCGGGUCGUAAAACACUGUCGUUAGAGAAGCGGUACCUAACCAGAAAGCGACGGCUAACUACGUGCCAGCCGCCGCGGUAAUAC
rnacentral:rRNA from 1 species